rnacentral:rRNA from 1 species
GAUGAACGCUGGCGGCGUGCCUAAUACAUGCCAGUCGAGCGAACAGACGAGGAGCUUGCUCCUCUGACGUUAGCGGCGGACGGGUGAGUAACACGUGGAUAACCUACCUAUAAGACUGGGAUAACUUCGAGAAACCGGAGCUAAUACCGGAUAAUAUAUUGAACCGCAUGGUUCAAUAGUGAAAGACGGUUUUGCUGUCACUUAUAGAUGGAUCCGCGCCGCAUUAGCUAGUUGGUAAGGUAACGGCUUACCAAGGCAACGAUGCGUAGCCGACCUGAGAGGGUGAUCGGCCACACUGGAACUGAGACACGGUCCAGACUCCUACGGGAGGCAGCAGUAGGGAAUCUUCCGCAAUGGGCGAAAGCCUGACGGAGCAACGCCGCGUGAGUGAUGAAGGUCCUCGGAUCGUAAAACUCUGUUAUUAGGGAAGAACAAAUGUGUAAGUAACUAUGCACGUCUUGACGGUACCUAAUCAGAAAGCCACGGCUAACUACGUG